CUAACUUCCUUCUCCUAGGCCCCGCCUCAUAAAAGUUUCACAACCUCUUGAUAAUGAGGCGGGGCCUAGGAGAAGGAAGUUAGGU
rnacentral:miRNA from 1 species